rnacentral:tRNA from 1 species
GAUACGAUGACCGAAAUUCUAGGUACUAGAUUGUAAAUCUAGUUAUGAGAUUUAACUCUCUCGUUUCA